AGACGACAACGUUGCCGUGACAACCAAAGAUGCGACUACAACUUGCCUCUCUGGGCCUCUUAAUUCUGCAUUUAUUUCGCGGCCAGCGACGUCGCAGAAGAAAGGCCAACAUUGUUCCGCUGCACACACUUUCUCUUGAACAUGGACAACAGGUAAUUGGUAAAUAAUGAUUAGAUUGAUAAAUUAUAAAACCAGCAUUAAUGAUAGGUUUAAGUGAUAUUGAAUGGUUAAAAGGUUGAAGCACUAGAUUCUGAAAGGAAUCACUGCUUUAGAGUGUUAGUUCAGUAUAAAAUGUAUUGAUUCAGAUAAAAGUUUGAAGUAAAAAUCAAUUUUCUUUGUUAUAAGAAUAACGCAUGCAUGUGUGUAUGUUUAUGUGUAUAUAUGUAUGUAUAUACACACACACACACACACACACACACACACACAUAUAUAUAUAUAUACAUAAUCUUAUAUCUAUGUUAAUGUAGUGCAUUCUUGUUUAUCUUGGCAUUCCAGCGCCCACCAUACACGAUGCGGAACAUCCAUGUUAGAGUAUUAAGGGUGCACCUGGAUCCUGAAUGAACUGCUUCUUCUUGAGCUUCUUCGCCAUGAUCUCUGUCAUUUUUUGUGUCUGUCGCGGAUGAUGAGACGCUUGUGGCCUCGUUCCCUUUUAAAUCCUGGCCCCGGCUGCGUCGGCGUCCUCCGGUAAUGCCCACAACGCAUUGAAUUGUGGGCAAUUUCUUUGCCAAAGUCUCCAACGGUACGGACUUACAGAAAGGGUGCAGAAAGGGGCGUUCCCGAGCCCUCACUGACUUACCGAUUUCAUUUGGAACAACC